AAGUCGUAACAAGGUUUCCGUAGGUGAACCUGCGGAAGGAUCAUUAUUGAAUAAAUCUGGCGUUGGGUUGUAGCUGGCUCUCCGGAGCAUGUGCACACCCUCGUCAUCUUUAUCUUUCCACCUGUGCACACACUGUAGUCCUGGAUACCCCUCGCCGAAAGGCGGAUGCAGAGCUUGCUGUGACUUUGGAGACAAAGGCCGGCUUGCACUGAAUUUCCAGGUCUACGAUUUUUUAUACACCCCAUAAACGAAUGUUAUAGAAUGUACAUCACUGGGCCUCUGUGCCUAUAAACCUUAUACAACUUUCAACAACGGAUCUCUUGGCUCUC
rnacentral:misc_RNA from 1 species